UACCAGCACCCCGAGUGGUCGGGACGAUUAUUGGGCCUAAAGCAUCCGUAGCCGGUACUGCAAGUCUUCCGUUAAAUCCACCUGCUCAACAGUUAGGCUGCGGGGGAUACUACAGCGCUAGGAGGCGGGAGAGGCAAGCGGUACUCAGUGGGUAGGGGUAAAAUCCACUGAUCCAUUGAAGACCACCAGUGGCGAAGGCGGCUUGCCAGAACGCGCUCGACGGUGAGGGAUGAAAGCGUGGGGAGCGAACAGG
rnacentral:rRNA from 1 species